rfam:Schistosoma mansoni strain Puerto Rico chromosome 1, complete genome
AUCCAGCUGACGAGUCCCAAAUAGGAUGAAACGCGUGUCCUGGAU